UGAGUAAUGUUGGGAUUAGUAUGGU
rnacentral:piRNA from 1 species